AUGGCCGGACCAUCUCUCCCUACGCCACCGCCGGUGGAGGAGCCACAGACGGGGGCUGCAAAGUCGGGGACGACGGUCGAUGCCCUCACCGUGGACAUGCUCCGCGACAUUCUCCGUCGCCUCUCCCUCGCCGACCUUCUCCGUGCCGCCCUCGCCUGCCACCGCUGGCGCCGCGUAGCCGCACGCUGCCUCCCCCGCACCGCUCCUCUCCUCGGCUACUUCUUCCACCCCACCGCCACCGGUUUGCCGCCGCCCAUGCCCAAGUCAUCCAAGGAAAUUGACACCCCUGCCGUCUUCGCUCCCUUGGACGCCUCCGCCCCGAACCUCUCCCUCGACUUCGCUCCGGAGGCCUCCCGCUUCGUGCUCCACGACUGCCACCAAGGCCUCCUGCUUCUCGAACCGCUCGGGUCGCUCCCCAAGGGGAUCCUCCCACGCUUCCUCGUCAUCGACCCGGCCACCCGCCGCCGCCGUCGCGCGACACGGUGCCCGACGACCACCGCUGGCGCCGCUCCAGGUACUACGUCGGCUCCGCACUGCUUCCCGCGCGCACCCGAGCAAGCUCUGCUUCGAGGUCGUCUGCUUCGCCAUCGACGACGGGCACCCGCGCGCCUGGGUCGCGUCCGUGGACGACGGCCGAUGCAGCUGGCGCGCGCUCCCGCAGACCAUGGAGGUAGAGGUCGGUUUUGA
rnacentral:rRNA from 1 species